GCUACGCUAUAUGGUGGAUAGCUUGGCUCAGAUACCGAGGAAGGAUGUGGCAAGCUGCAAUAAGUCCAGGGUAGUGGCACGCAAACAUCGAACCUGGAAUUUCUUAAUGGGACUUCCUGUUAUACGCUCGCUUCGCGAGUGGGGACGCGGGGAAUUGAAACAUCUUAGUACCCGCAGGAAAAGAAAGCAAUGCGAUUCCCUUAGUACAGGCGAUAGAAGAGGGAACAGAACAAACCGAAUCCGUGUAAGUAAUUACAUGGAGAUGUGGGGUUUGGACUUGGGGUUCUGCCUAACUAACCAAUUCAAAGUCUGUUGGAAAACAGCGCUAGAGACGGUGAUAGCCCGGUAGAAGAAAGUUAGAAGGAUGAUACCUGAGUAUCCAGAGUACUGUUGGUCGGAUAUCCAGCAGGAACGUGGGGGUCAGUAACCCCUAAUUCUAAAUAUAAUCUGAGUCCGAUAGCGCACUAGUACGGCGAUGGAAAGCUGAAAAGUAUCCGUAAAAGGAGUUUCAAAGAGCUUGAAACCAUAUAGUUACAGGUUGAUAUGGUCUGUUAAUACUUAUCGAACGUAAGGAGAUAAGUGGAUAGAUUAUAUCGUCCGUUUUGAAACACGUGGCAAGGAGUUUAUUUCUGUGGCAAGACUAAUUCAAGGAGUCAUAGCGAAAGCAAAGCCCUCGCAGUUUACAAGGAGGGUGGGUAUGAAAGUGCCCGAAGUCACAGGAUUAAGACCCGAAGCUGGUCGAUCUAGCCCUGAACAGGGUGAAGUCUCGUGAAAACGGGAUGGAGGCUCGUUUCCCUUGUUGAGAUUCAAAUCACAGGGGUAAUUUGGGGCUAGGGGUGAAAAGCCUAUCGAGAUCAGCGAUAGCUGGUUCCCCCCGAAAUGAGCCGCAGCUCAGCCUCGUCGGAGAUAGUUAUAAGGGUAAAGCUACUGAUUGAAAAGCCAAGGUGAGAAAUCGCCAGUUUUUCUGUCAAACUCUGAAUCUUAUAACAUCGUAGAAGACGGGAGUGCGGACACGGGGUAAGCUCGUAGUUCGAGAAGCAAAGAAACUAGACCAAGGCUAAGGUCCCUAAAUGCUUGUUAAGUGAUAAAAGGAGUCAUUAACCUCAGACAGCGGGGAGGUUGGCUUAGAAGCAGCCACCCUUUAAACAGUGCGUAAUAGCUGACCCGUCAAGGUUAGAGGCCCUGAAAAUGGACGGGACUAAACAAGUCACCGAGACCUUGGAUCCCGAAAGGGAGCGUAGGAGGGUGUUCUGUGAGGGUAGAAGCUCUAUUCGUAAGAAUGAGUGGACCUCGCAGCAAUAAGAAUCUUGCCGAAAGUAGCAACAAAGUCUGAUGAGAAUUCAGACCACCUAAGGGGCCAGGGUUCCUCAGCAAUGAUCGUCAACUGAGGGUUAGCCGAUCCUAAGGUAAAUCCUAACCGGAAUUUAUCGAAAGGGAAACCUGUUAAUAUUCAGGUGCUAGAAGAAUACGUGCGGCAACGCGAAGCCUGGUUUCUAACGCUUUAGGACAGAUCAACCAUAGUGGUAUGGUUAACUAGCGAAAUCUAGGGAGUCUCGUAAUGAGGAGAACUAGAUGAAACUAGGAAUAGCUUCCCUUUGGAAGUUUGAUCGACUCCUGGAGCCCGUGAAAGGGACGAAAACAAUAAAAUUGUUUUCAAACUCAUACAGGAAACCAGGAUGGAUUUCUUCUAUUCGUACCGAGAACCGUCACUGGUGCCCCUGGCUGAGAAGGCCAAGGUGUGUUGGGAUAAGUUAGUUUAGGGAACUCGGCAAAUUAGCGGUGUAUCUUCGGUAUAAACCGUGCCUACUACUUUAACCUAGUUAAGGAUAGUAGGUCUCAGUAACUCGUGGAAAGCGACUGUUUAACAAAAACGUAGAGGGCUGCUAGUCGGAAACGAUGUGUAUAGCUCUUGAGGCCUGCCCAAUGCCGGUCGGUCAAACUCAGUUUCAACUGAGCUAAGCCCCGGUGAAUGGCGGCGGUAACUCUGACCGUCUUAAGGUAGCGUAAUACUGGCGGUCAUUUGAUGAAAAGAUGAUAAAUGACGAUUUGCCAUUGCGCAAUCCCUUGUCGAUUAAUUGUCGACCCGCAUGAAUGGCUUAACGACUUUCCAGCUGUCCCGAACUAAUACCCAGUGAACUUAAUUGUCCUGUGCAUAAUCAGGAGUCCUUCAGUGGGACGAGAAGACCCCGUAGAACUUUACUGCAUUUUGAUGUUGUGGUAUGAUGGGAAUCGCAUAGAGUAGGUAGGAGCGUCGAACCAGAGGCUUCGGUUUCUGGGAAUGCGAAAGUGUAACACUACCCUAUUUUUGUCAUACUGCUUACGCUUAGGCGGACAGCUUCAGAUGGGCAGUUUGGCUGGGGCGGUACGCCUCUGACAACAUAUCAGAGGCGCCCAAAGGUUUCCUCAUCCGGGUCAGAAAGUAGAUUGACGCAGAUAGCGAUCUGCGUCCAACCUGAAUAUCCGGAAAAGAGUGCAAAGGCAAAAGGAGGCUUGAUAGGAUCUUUGACAGUAAGAGAUCCUAACACGAAAGUGUGGCUUAGCGAUCCCUUAUGUCCUCAUUACUGGGGGCUAGGUUUAUCAGAAAAGCUAUCUCGGGGGUAAUGGAGUCGUGGCGGGUGAAAGUUCCUGCCGCGAGUCUUCUCAACAAGGAACGAAACUUAAGUUUCAAUCCUUAGACCCUUAAUAGAAAAUUGUAUAGGUCUUACAGCAAUGAGAUCUAAAGAAAAAUAGAAGUGACUAAUGACUGGAGUAGAUUUAUCUAUUCCGUCUGAUGUCAGGUUUAACCAAAGUAGAGAGAGAUUGGAAUGAGAAAUCAUUUCAAUCUUUUAAGACCAAGGUCUCGACGAAAACUAUUAAGGCGGAAUUUGAAAAGUGAUUAACACUUUAAUGAAAUUCUUGCAACGAAGCAUAAAAGGGACGACAUAGACAUCAGUCUAUGUCCAACCAUAUUAUGAAGACUCGUGGGAAUAAAUCGACCCCGCGCGUUGCUUCUCCGCCGUCGGCUCGGCUCCUCCUGGCUGUGCAGCAGCAGCCAAGGG
rnacentral:rRNA from 1 species